UACGGAGGGUGCAAGCGUUGUCCGGAUUUACUGGGUGUAAAGGGUGUGUAGGUGGAAUUGCAAGUCAGUGGUGAAAUCCUACGGCUUAACCGUAGAACUGCCAUUGAUACUGCUCUUCUUGAGUACUGGAGAGGUUACUAGAAUUCGUGGUGUAGCGGUGAAAUGCGUAGAUAUCACGAGGAAUACCAGAGGCGUAGGCGGGUAACUGGACAGAUACUGACACUGAGGCACGAAAGCGUGGGGAGCAAAC
rnacentral:rRNA from 1 species